UGUGAACUCUGCUUCAGUCCUCUGCUCACCCAUAUCUGCAAUAUGGUGAAUACUGGUCUUUCUCAUGGGGUUGAUGCCUAGUUAUAUGUCUUAUUCCGUGCCCUGCGCCCAGCAGAAGCUCUGGGCCAGGCGGGACGCAGUGGCAUCUCGUAGAGGACACCCUCCCCUUUCCUGGGGUAUAUGAUUUGUGCUGUCCCAGAGCAGAUUUUGAGGUGUGGCUCACCUCAACUUUACAGACUUGUCUGCUAUUAAGACAGAGCAGUACAUAAGAUGCUGCUUUGUACCAUGUAAAAACGAUUUGUCCAUCUAGUUCUAUCUGCAGCGACUGACUGCGGCUUCCUGCACUCUGAGAUGGGGAUUCCUCCCGUCACCUGUUUCAUUUGUUAACUGGAAGUGCCAGAGCUUGAAGCUGGGUUUUUCUACGUGCAAAGCCUGUAUUGUACAAAUGAGCUGCAGUUUCUGCUUGGGAAAAUAUGAUACCUCUCCAGAAUAGAAGUACUUCCUUGAGGAAAGGUGCCUGGGUCCUGUAAAACAAUGGAUUGACAACUGCGCAUUUGCUGUAGCACAAACUGAUUGGCUGGAAGCCCAUGGAAUGUAUUAAGCCACAGCCUUUGUAAAUUAAUCCAGCUAAUUUGAA